AGAGGCUUUGGCAAAGCUGAGUCUGGGUUUUGUCACAGCUGGAGACCAGCUGCAGAUCAUCCUUGUGAACUGUCCACCCUGGAAGCUGAGGCACCAAAGAAUGAAGGCACUGUGGUGAGCUGGAGGGAUUUGGAAUAGCUCUGCCAUCACUGACAGCUGGGUGCCAUGGAGGCUGUCAGAGAAUGAAGCAUACCCUUGUUAAUGAUAACCUUUUCAUUAGAGCGUGAAAAUGAGAAAUCUAUGAUCACAGAUGAAGAAGCUGAGAAAUCUCAGGAUCUAUGUGUUCUGGAAGGUGGCAGAUUUUCAGACAACUCAUCG